rnacentral:rRNA from 1 species
UACAGAGACCUCAAACAUUAUCCGGAUUUAUUGGGCGUAAAGGGUCCGCAGGUGGCUUUGUGCGUCGAUGGUUAAAUCUUCGGGCUCAACUCGGAGACUGCUAUCGAUACGGCAUGGCUAGAGGCCGGAAGAGGUAAGCGGAAUUGCCGGUGUAGUAGUAAUAUGCGUUAAUAUCGGCAAGAACACCAAAUGCGAAGGCAGCUUACUGGGACGCGCCUGACACUCAGGGACGAAAGCGUGGGGAGCGAAAGGG